UAUAUGUUCAAUAGCCAUAAUCUGUUAUUUAUCACAUAUUAACGUCCUUUUUUUUCUUUUCUUUUCUGCAUUCUGAUGAAUGUCGUUUUAACGUGGAACUGUGUAUAUUCAUAUCAAUUUAUAUGUUUCUGUUUUCCUCCAACAGGCGAUUUCCAUCUUCGUGUCCGCCUACACUCUGGUGGCAAUCAGCGUGGAUCGUUACUUGGCGAUUAUCUAUCCACUGCGACCUCGGAUGACCCGCCUGCAGGCCAAGGUCAUUAUUGGUGCUGUGUGGCUGUUGGCGCUCCUCACCACACUGCCCAUUGCAGUGUUCUCCCGCCUCCAAUUCUCUUGAGAGGAGAAGCUACCAGUACUACGAGCGUGAGGUGUGCAUGGAGUACUGGCCUGAGGAAGUCCUCAAGCCCUACUACACCCUGGCGCUGAUGGUGCUUCAGUAUUUCCUCCCGCUGGUGGUCCUCAUCUUCACGUACUCCAGGAUAAUUUGCCAAGUAUGGGGACAGCCAGGAUCACCGCACAAACAUCAAAGGACCAUGCAGGUGA